CAACAACAAAGAUAAAAAUUGUGUUCAACGUCAAAUAACUGUCAUUUGUUCAUCGAAAAAAAUCGAGUUCGCGCAAUAACCAACAUCGUAGCCAUGUGUAUACGAACGUGACCGUUCUGUACAACGAUCACCGCCAUGACACACAAUUCCUCGUUCCCGCCGUGGAAGACUUCGAAACGAACAUUUCACGAUCUCACCGACACACGCGCGACAUCCAGCGGGAUCUUUUUGGCAGCCGGCAACAGGUCGCGGUAGUCGCUAUCCCGUAACACGCGUCGUUGUGUUAUUGUUUAUUGUUCGAUCACAACACGGUUGCGGCGUCGGUAGUGUCGAUCGUAUCGUUGCUCUAUUUUGGUCUUCUCAGGUAGGAGAGGAGGGACAGCGCAGUCUGGCUCGGACGAAUGCUUGGAGACACUAUUAACGACGCUUAAGAACGUCCACUCUGCAGACUGAAAAAGACAGAGAAGAAGAGACAGAGAGAAAGAGAAACGACGGUCAGACACAGAGAAAGAAUGAGCGUAAAGGAAAGAAGAAAUGAGACUGGAGCCAACGGUUACCAUUAUAAAUAGUUGCGACCAAUAGCGACAGAAGUAAUACUCUCCCGUCCACCAGGUGGAACAGUUGUAGAUUAUUAAGAUUGUGAUUUUGUUAAUAUAUAAUGAUGAUUUUAAAAUUAUAAUAAAUAUAAAAAUAUA